CGCAGAAAAAAACUCACAGCCGGGACCUUGAAGAGAUGGAAAAAAAAGGAGUACCAGUAGGAGUGAGGGGUGCAUGUGGAACAGAAAUUCCACGGCAUGAUUUUACGGGAUAGAUAAAGAUUGAUGAUAUCUUAGCAUCAGCAACAGCAGCAGCAGCAGCAGAUGAUGCAUCAGUCUUCUCCAUGCCUCUUUCUUCUUUCGGACAAAGAGACAAUCUUGAGUUUCCAAGCAAAAACAGGUAGUCUGUAUGUUUAAGAAGUCUUCUUAAAAACCACUGACUUUGAACCACAUGAAUUCAUUUCCUUUACAUGGAAACUUCCAAACUGAAUUUGGAUUUUUGCACAAUGGGAUCAGAACGGUGGACCGCCCUCUAUACAAAGUGGCCCUGCCUCCAGCCCACAUCCUUUUCUAACACACGUUACUAUUUUCUUUUUCCUUUUUCGGUUACAAUUUCCAAGAGGGCAAUCCAAUUGUAACCUCCAUUUUAUUUUAAAAUAUGCUUUUACCUCUUUCAGAUUUAUUCAUUCUUUUUUAUUUUUAAAAUUUUAAUUUUAAAAUUUAUUUAUUAAAUUUAUUGAUGUGAUAUUUUAACAUAAAACAAAUAAUUAGUGGUUAUAUAAUAAAAAAUACCGUUAUAAACUUGAAUUUAACCAAAGCAUUUUAAUUGUAUUCACAAUUGUAAUUAGGUUUUAAAUCUAAGAAAUAGAAAAUUUAAAUUCCAAAUGUAAAUAUUUUAAUCUCACUAAAAUUAAGGUUAAUUAAUACUUCAAUACAAAUAAAAAAAGGUUAAUUUUGUCCUACCAAACAUUUUUUACUUUUCAAGAAAGCAAGUUUUUCAGGAAAAAAAUCCCAUUACUUGUGGGAAAUAACUCAGUUACAUUCGAAAGAAAAUCAACUAAUUUUUGUUAAAUUUAUUGAAAAAUGAUAACAUUCCAUCGUAUCAAACAUCCUAUAAGAGUUCAAUAGUAAACUGUCUAAAAUCCUAUCGAGUUAAAAACUAAUCUAAAACAAUAUACGCUCUUGAUAGAUGUCCAAUGCCUCGAUAACCUUCUCGAUGAAUAGUUUCCGGUGCAAUCUGUACCUGAAUAUGUAAAAAGGUAAGAGAGACUUCAACUCGGACUGUAAUUAAGAAUUAAAACCUUAAUGCAUGAGAGGAAAAGGUAUGUUAUGUCAGAAUCACAUACUUGAUUGCUGUUUCAAGUGUCCUCCUUGCUUCUGGCAUAGAUGGAAAGAUGGAAAACUGAAGGAGUAGAAAACUAGAAGGAUAGAAAAUAUAAUUUUUCUUUCAUAAUCUCUUCAUUUUCUCUCCUCUUAUUUUUCCAAUUUGGAAGGAUUGGUUUUUAUGCGAUAGAAAAUGGUCAUCCCUCCCAUUUUCUUUUCUCUCACUUUUCUUUCAAACCAAGCACACUCAAAAUUUAUUUUCCUUCCACUUUUCCACUCCAUCCUCCAUCCCUCCACUUUUGCACCUAACCAAGCACACCCUAAAAGUUGAAGCUAAUUACCACAGAUGAUGAGAAUCCAUAUCGUUGCAUGAGCAUCUGAUUUUGCUGUCCAUUCAUGUAAUUGAUGGUCAUCUGUUAACAUUAUGGAAUUGUAGAUACAUAUCCCAUAAUGUAAAUAAAAAACACUUAGGAUCUAACAUGGUUGAUGGCUUUAAAAGGCAAACAGCAAAGACAACACAAAGCAGGCUAAACUUUAUCACAAACUAAAUGCUCCAAUAGCUACAAAGAGACCAAAAAGACUACAAAUAAACGAUGGCUGGACCGCCCCUUGAUGUUGAAAAUUCACUUGAACAACAUUAGAAUUUAAAGAGAAUAUGGAAUAACAAUACCUCCUCUCCUUUUCUAAUCCUCUGUCCAGCGUUUAUCAUCACCUCAACCAUGCGAUCCUUAAAACGCCAAUGGAGAAAACAGUUUGGCUGAAAUGAAUGAUUUAGCAUGUCUGCGCUGACAAAUGGAUACACAUCAAAAAGCAUAUUAAAAUAUUAGAUAAGUAAGAGAAAUAAUAACUUAAAGGAAAUAUGAUGGCAGUCAAUUUGUAGAUAAGGCAGGGAGGUAUUAGUGAUGCCAAAACAGGCCAAAGCUUUGGUCGAAAAAGACAAUAAAUGAAGGAGAAACAGUUGAAAGGAAUGGUCUANNNNNNNNNNNNNNNNNNNNNNNNNNNNNNNNNNNNNNNNNNNNNNNNNNNNNNNNNNNNNNNNNNNNNNNNNNNNNNNNNNNNNNNNNNNNNNNNNNNNNNNNNNNNNNNNCACCAGACCAGCAUAGGGAAUUAGCAUAUUUGCAUCUUGAACUAGUGCACCGAUCCUAACUUGCAUGUUAAUGCAUCGUGACUGUGCAAUGCUAACAGCCCAAAUGAAUCUCUCAGGAUCACGAGCAAGGCGCUUUAUUUUCAGAGGAACACCGGAAUGCUGAGCGAGGUUAAGCACACAAACAAGUCAUAUUAGAGUGAGCAAGAACUUCUUUGAAGAAACGAGAGGUAAAAUGUUUAUUGUCAUAAUGAUAGAUGGGUUGCUUAUACCCAGUUCUUUUCCCAAAAUUCUAAGGCUCUUAAUUGUUGAUUUUUCAUAGUUGAAACAAGAUCAGGAUCCUGCAGCUGUGAGAGGUCGUCCUGCAAGGAUUGAGCAAGCUGUGAGUACAACAAGUUGCUUCCCACAUAGUUACUCUUAGAAUUAUGCUAAAAUCCCAAUCCUUUGCCAUUUAACAACCAUAACCAAUGCUUUAAUGCUAUCAUUAAGAUAUGUCACUCCCACCAUUAAUUCAUCAAAGACAAAAACUGUAAUUUAGCAAAACAUAGAAGGGAACUCGAAAUAAAGUAAAAAGCAAGAAAAUACACACACCUCAGUAGCAAGAAGCAAGCUAGUGCACUCAUCAGCACUAGGUAAGAAGUCUCCAUAUAGUUGCCAAAAGUUAUCCUCCUUAUCAAAUGCAUACAAGAGAAGGCAUGCCAAUCUCAGAUCCCAAUCUGUCAGCCAAGAAAGACGCCAUGAAUUACAUUGAAGAACAGCGCAAUUAGUGUUAUAGUACAAACCAAAUAGUGUGCUAGUGAAUUCACCAAAUUUGAACAAUAAAUGCAGAAAACUUGAAAUGAUAAUUUAAGUCUUUCAUAUAAAGGAAAAUUCGAAUUACCUCAGGAUUGGUUGAGUUUAUGAUAUCAAAUAUGGGAUGACCUAGUGGCACUAUAUCCGGGAAGAACAUCCAUGGCAACUUCUGCCUUAUUGUCAACAUCAAUUCCAAAGGUAUUUCCAUAAUUACCUGUUCAGUCAAGUAUUGAAAGCAUAGUUACCAACACAUACACACAGAUAUCAUAGCAAGAGAAUAUAUGGUAGAAAAGGGUUACAGUGAGAAUUUAGAAGCAAAUGACAAAAGUGAAACAGACUCUAGCACAACGAAGAGGUUCAACAUCUUUGGAGGCAUAGACUCCAAAACCAUCAGGACCUUCCUUAAACUCAAUUCCAUAAGCUCUCAUACUUCGAACAUAACCUAUCUUGUAGAAAUCAGGGUCCGCAGGCUCCAACUAUAAAGGAAAACAAAAGCAACUGAAUGAUUUUAAAAACCCAAAAUGGAAAAAAAAGUAAUAGGAAGAGUGAAUUGAUAAGCCAUGAGCAUAUACCUGAGAAGGAGAUUCUUGAACUGGGGUAGGCUGAAAGAGUGGAAACGAAGGAGUUUCAAUCUCAAACAAUACUUGGUCGCUGGUGCUGGUGACCACCCAUGACUAUGAAAAUGAGUACGACGAGAUUCUCUUUCUGGACAAGCAUAGGUGAAGCACCCACUGACAUGUAUCUUAUUUUAUUUAAAUGUAAUAAAAAUAUAUUUUUUUUAAUUUUAAAUAGUAGAUGUGGACAAUCGGAAUCGCAUAUUAAUUUAUAUAAUUUUAUUUUAUGGUUUGACAUUAAAUAUAUGUUGCAUGUGGAUGGCCUUUACCCGGCUAGGAACCAUUUUAAAUAACUGGAAACCGACAAAAUAUAUGGAAUAAAAGCUUAUUAGUUCAAACUAGAAAGCCAAACUUGAAAAUAAAAUUUGUUCAAACUCAAUUUAUUUACGGCCAUAUUCAAAAACUUGAUUUAAAGUCUCAGAUAAGGAGUUAUGGCUCUUAUUUAUUUGAAUACUGUUAAAAGCAUUCAAGCAACUGCUUCAGCAGCAGUGGAGACUUUCUGGAGGACAAAUAUAGGAUCUCCCACUUUAACCAGCUUUGCCUUCCCUUCAGUCAAACUUUCCUUGCAAACCAUGUUCUGCCCAAAAUAGAUCUGCAAUAUCAUCAGAACGUAUUCAAAACGGAUCAUUUGCGGGUGAGAGGGCAUUACAGCAAAAAAAUGUUCCGAAUUUUCAUCUUAGUGGUCUUACCUUUCCUUGUUGUUUCUUGUCCGGUCGCAAGACCUUAUCCGACCUGUAUUUCAUAAGAGUUUCAUUCGGCUCUGGACCAGCAAUUGCGGUUUCUUGAUUGAUUGUAGGCACCUGAAUAAUGCACCAUCAUCUUUUUAAACAUUAACAUGCUUAGGCAUAUGAUAUAUAGCUAUUAAUAUCGUAAGAUACUCUAUAUGUAUAGUUUCAAUACGAUUCGAUUCACAAUCAAAAUCACUAGGUAUCUAUAUAGAGAACUGGUUUUUAGCAUUGAAUACCUUGAAAUCCAUUGCAAUUUACAAUAUUCUUAAGAUAACAGUACUUCUCGUAACAUAAGCAGAAAAUGCAGAAAGGGUAGCUUUUACACCUUACAGCGGGAGCAUAGUCUCACACCUUGAAAUGAAAAUUGGCUUAUUUUAAUCUCAGUCCAUAGGUCUUCAGAGAACGGUUCACAGCCGUCAACAAGGAUGCUAUAAUGAGCACGAAAAAUUAUGUAAUAAAGUUGUAAAUAAUACAGAAAAAGAGUAAAGCAGAGGUGAUUAAACUUGAACAAAUGUUUUCCAUUGGAAAUAACAUGAGAGAAUAUUGAAAUUUAGAGGAUUAACUGGAUCCUGAUGAAAGGACAUGCUAAAUAAAAACCAAGAGACAUGGUAUGAGCCUGAGAAAGGGGCGAAAAAAGUACUUGGGUCUGAAACGGUUCAUGGGUACAGGCUCCUUCAGAAGCUUGUUCAGUUCGUCCAAAGAUCCCUGCAAGCAUUUGUACUUAUAACAUCAAGUUUGAGCUUUGUUAAUUUAUAUUGAUAUCAUCAUCAUCAUCAUCAUCAUCAUCAGUUAUGAAAAUAAAAAACAUUGUUUCCAAAACUAACCUGAGAUGCUAACAUGAAAGGGAACAUGUCAGAAAACAUUAUGGAAUACCCUUGAGCAUACACAGGAUCCACAGGCCUAGUUUCUGAUGCUGCAUUUAUUAAAUAAUGUUGUAACCAAAUUGUUAGCCAUAUAAAUUGGAGACUUAAAAACUAUCUUAAUAUGCAAAGCUAUCACAACAUGGCUGUAGCAUUUAUAUAGUUAAUUGAAAUCAAACCAACCUGCAUUAAAACGAACCAUCCUACUGGGUUUCCCGAGAUAAUUUGUAAACCAUUUUGAAGCCUCAUCACCCUCAUCUAAUGCAGAGCCGGACCACUCCCAAACUGAAACACCAUCAGACACUUUUGGUGGUUUGCAAAGAGAAAUCUUGAGUAAAUCCAUUCCGGGUGCUUUUAUUUCUGCGAAUGAAAGCAUAUAAUGGUCACGACUCAUGAAAAAUAAAAGGAAAUAGGAAAUCACAAUUUGAAUGCUUUAGACAAUUUGCCUGCAUAAAACAAAUAACUCAAACUAAGAUUUCUGCUAUUAGAGAUUUGAUAGUUUGUCUCAUACAAAUAAUUUUGCCAUGUAAAAACACACUAUUCUGUUUAAUAUGAGCAUUAUAUAAUGCAAUAUCUGCAGUAACUAAGUUGUCUUAAAGAUUAAUGAGGUACAGAUAAUGAUGAGUUGGUUUACCCAAAUAGGAGGUCNNNNNNNNNNNNNNNNNNNNNNNNNNNNNNNNNNNNNNNNNNNNNNNNNNNNNNNNNNNNNNNNNNNNNNNNNNNNNNNNNNNNNNNNNNNNNNNNNNNNNNNNNNNNNNNNNNNNNNNNNNNNNNNNNNNNNNNNNNNNNNNNNNNNNNACAGAGGAACAUAAGAAAUAAAUCAGCCAUGCUUGCAAGUUAGCCAUGGAGAAUAAAUUGAACAAAUUGACAGAUGGUUGAGGCAACUGGAUACGCCAAAUCAAGCUAACUAAACUGUUUAAGAAAAUCAAGAAUAAUUCCCAAAAUUACAUAAAAAAAAGUGAUCCAAUAUAACAAGCACUGUAGCUAUCACUUAAUCAUAGUUAUUGUUUCUAAUGUUAUUUGGGUUAAGCUAAUGAACCAGUGACAAGACAGAAAACUAUGACUGGGAGUGAGGUUAAAAAUUUUGGGAAUAGCACCAAAAAAAAAGCAAUAAAAAAUAAAAAUGAAAACCAAAAUUUCCUUGUAAGUAUUAAAGCUGGAGUUGCAGAGAAAUACAUUAAGACAGUGUUAGCAAAUGAAGUGCAGGUGAAAACACCAUAAUAUAAGAACAACAAGGCUAAUAAUUGAUAAAUAUAAAGCGCAGAAAAAAACUCACAGCCGGGACCUUGAAGAGAUGGAAAAAAAAGGAGUACCAGUAGGAGUGAGGGGUGCAUGUGGAACAGAAAUUCCACGGCAUGAUUUUACGGGAUAGAUAAAGAUUGAUGAUAUCUUAGCAUCAGCAACAGCAGCAGCAGCAGAUGAUGCAUCAGUCUUCUCCAUGCCUCUUUCUUCUUUCGGACAAAGAGAUAAUCUUGAGUUUCCAAGCAAAGACAGGUAGUCUGUAUGUUUAAGAAGUCGUCUUCUUAAAAACCGCUGUCUUUGAACUCGAUUCCCUAUCAAACCACAUGAAUUUCAUUUCUUUUACAUGGAAACUUCCAAACUGAAUUUGGAUUUUUGCACAAUGGGAUCAGAACGGUGGACCGCCC
rnacentral:lncRNA from 1 species